CAGAGUAAAAGACAGAGGCACCGUCUGUUCCUGGAACAGCAACCAACAGUCGAGAUACUAUUUUUUGCAAUGGUUGACUAAAUAUGGUCAGGGAAGAGAGAGGCAAAAGACAGCCUGGGAGUGGAUGUUUCAAAUGCCUAGCUGCCUAUAAAGCCGAAAUAGUUUUGCUAGUGCCCUGAUUAGCAAAUGGAUUCAUACUAAAUAGCAUGCAUGUGGAAGCCCUGACCUCAAAAGCAGUGUUUGACCUCUGAAGAUGAAAAAUAACUACAAGAAACCUGUCUGGGAACUAAAAUUCAAGCAUGAAGAAACCAAGUGCCAUAUCUAUGGAGAAAGAAACAAUACUUGCUUGGGAAGGAUGAUGGUGUUUGCUGAUUUUUUACAAUCUCAUGAACAUUUUUCAGUUAUUUUCAAUUACCUAAACAAGAUGAGAUUAUCCUUCUUUGGGUUUUCCUAGCAUCCACCCUGGAUAUUUCUGUUUUCAGUCCUGCAGGUUCAAGAAACUUAGUUCCAUGCAACAACACCUUAAUGUUUAGGAAAACACAACAGAUAUCUUAGCUGAAUCAGCGAUAGAGUGAACAUUCAAGAUGAGAUGGCUGCUGCUGAUGUCUCUCUCUAGGUCAUCCAACUGCAAAUGCUGCAUGAUAAGCUUACAGAGGGAAUAACCUGAGAGCACAGAAGGAGCACCUAUAGGGGCUGCUGUUGGUGGUCUACACUCACUCCAGUAUUCACUACCCAUGGUGAUCAUCUAUAAUGGCUAAAGGUGCCAAGGGCAGAAGUACAGCCUAAGACCAAAUAAGAUUGUAUCAAAACACUGUGCAGGUACUCUCAGAAAUGGGCAGGAAAAAGUCUGUUACCACAUAAGGAUAGAGAAAGAGACACAGAGCUUUAACCCUGAACCUGACAUAUUAACACAAUUGGAUUAAUAAAAAUUGCAGUAGUUGAUUUUUGUCAUUAUAGCAGCUUCUUUUGCAAUAAAAGCAAUUUAUGUA